AUACGAAGGGUGCAAGCGUUAAUCGGAAUUACUGGGCGUAAAGCGCGCGUAGGCGGUUUUGUAAGUUGGAGGUGAAAGCCCCGGGCUCAACCUGGGAAUUGCCUCCAAAACUGCAUGACUAGAGUACGGUAGAGGGUAGUGGAAUUUCCUGUGUAGCGGUGAAAUGCGUAGAUAUAGGAAGGAACACCAGUGGCGAAGGCGACUACCUGGACUGAUACUGACAAUGAGGUGCGAAAGCGGGGGAGCAAACAGGAUUAGAUACCCUGGUAGUCCACGCCGUAAACGAUGUCAACUAGCCGUUGGGAUCCUUGAGAUCUUAGUGGCGCAGCUAACGCAUUAAGUUGACCGCCUGGGGAGUACGGCCGCAAGGUUGAAACUCAAAUGAAUUGACGGGG
rnacentral:rRNA from 1 species